GAUGAACGCUAGCGGCAGGCCUAAUACAUGCAAGUCGAACGGGAUCCAGAUCAAAGCUUGCUUUGGUCUGGUGAGAGUGGCGCACGGGUGCGUAACGCGUGAGCAACCUACCCUUGUCAGGGGGAUAGCCCGGCGAAAGUCGGAUUAAUACCGCAUGACAUCAUUGAGAGGCAUCUUUCGAUGAUCAAAGAUUUAUCGGACAAGGAUGGGCUCGCGUGACAUUAGCUAGUUGGUAAGGUAACGGCUUACCAAGGCUGCGAUGUCUAGGGGCUCUGAGAGGAGAAUCCCCCAAACUGGUACUGAGACACGGACCAGACUCCUACGGGAGGAAGCAGUAAGGAAUAUUGGUCAAUGGACGGAAGUCUGAACCAGCCAUGCCGCGUGCAGGAAGACGGCCCUAUGGGUUGUAAACUGCUUUUAUACGGGAACAAACGUCGGUACGUGUACCGGUCUGAGUGUACCGUAAGAAUAAGGAUCGGCUAACUCCGUG
rnacentral:rRNA from 1 species